UGGGGAAUAUUGGACAAUGGGCGCAAGCCUGAUCCAGCCAUGCCGCGUGAGUGAUGAAGGCCCUAGGGUUGUAAAGCUCUUUCACCGGUGAAGAUAAUGACGGUAACCGGAGAAGAAGCCCCGGCUAACCUCGUGCCAGCAGCCGCGGUAAUACGAAGGGGGCUAGCGUUGUUCGGAUUUACUGGGCGUAAAGCGCACGUAGGCGGACUUUUAAGUCAGGGGUGAAAUCCCGGGGCUCAACCCCGGAACUGCCUUUGAUACUGGAAGUCUUGAGUAUGGUAGAGGUGAGUGGAAUUCCGAGUGUAGAGGUGAAAUUCGUAGAUAUUCGGAGGAACACCAGUGGCGAAGGCGGCUCACUGGACCAUUACUGACGCUGAGGUGCGAAAGCGUGGGGAGCAAACAGG
rnacentral:rRNA from 1 species